rnacentral:rRNA from 1 species
CUGAACCAGCCAAGUAGCGUGAAGGAUGACUGCCCUAUGGGUUGUAAACUUCUUUUAUAAAGGAAUAAAGUCGGGUAUGCAUACCCGUUUGCAUGUACUUUAUGAAUAAGGACCGGCUAACUCCGUGCCAGCAGCCGCGGUAAUACGGAGGAUCCGAGCGUUAUCCGGAUUUAUUGGGUUUAAAGGGAGCGUAGGUGGACUGGUAAGUCAGUUGUGAAAGUUUGCGG